UGAGCUGCUGCUCCAGUGCUCUGAUCCCAAAGGAAUUGCCCCCAUUCCCAUUAUUCCAGACUUCCAGGUGGGAAUGGGUGAGGGAUAAGGGGUCACUGAGAGCUGAGCUGCUGCUCCAGUGCUCUCUGAUCCCAAAGGAAUUGCCCCUAUUCCCAUUAUUCCAAACUUCCAGGUGGGAAUGGGGGAGGGAUAAGGGGUCACUGAGAGCAGAGCUCCAUCUCUCUGAUCCCAAAGGAACUGCCCCCAUUCCCAUUGUCCCAGAUUUCCAGGUAGGAACAGGUGAGAGAUAAAGAGCUGAGCUGCUGCUCCAGCGCUCUGAUCCCAAAGGAAUUGCCCCCCAUUCCCUAUUCACCAUUCCCCAUUAGCUGAUCCCAUUAUUCCAAACUUCCAGGUGGGAAUGGUGAGUGAUAAAGAGCUGAACUGCUGCUCCUGUGCUCUGAUCCCAAAGGAAUUGCCCCCAUUCCCAUUAUUCCAGACUUCCAGGUAGGAAUGGGUGAGGGAUAAGGGGUCACUGAGAGCUGAGCUGCUGCUCCAAUGCUCUGAUCCCAAAGGAAUUGCCCCCAUUCCCAUUAUUCCAAACUUCCAGGUGGGAAUGGGGGAGGGAUAAGGGGUCACUGAGAGCAGAGCUCCAGCUCUCUGAUCCCAAAGGAACUGCCCCCAUUCCCAUUGUCCCAGAUUUCCAGGUAGGAACAGGUGAGAGAUAAAGAGCUGAGCUGCUGCUCCAGCGCUCUGAUCCCAAAGGAAUUGCCCCCAUUCCCCAUCCAGGAGCUGGGAAUCAUCCCGCCCUGGAGACGCGGUUGGGGAGGGCACGUCCCUGUGCCCUCGGGAAUGUCACCUUGUCCCUCUCCUCCUCCACGCGCAUUUGGAGGCGAGCUCUUAAUGGCUCGCUGUUAAUUAGUGUGAACUCUGAUUGCCCUGCGAGCACGCCCUUGCCUUUGUCAGCUAAUUGGCCGGGCUUUCUCAUCUAUUAUGUAAAUAGCGCCGGUCUCUGCGGCGCGGUGUCGUAACCCAGCGCAUUCCUGGGAGCCUGCGCUCCUGCCUCUUGGAAUUGUGCUCCCGGCCCCGGGCGAAAAGAGCAGCAACAACAACAACAACAAAAAGCAGGCGAGCCUUUGGCUGGGUUUUGGGAGGCUCCAGAAGAAAGUGUUCCGGGCAGGAGUUCAGGCCGUGGACAGUGGGAGAAGGGGGAGGGAGGGAGGAGGCAGCGGGAAAAGCUGGAUAAUCCUGGCCUUGCGUCACCUCCCGCGGCCCCGCGCGCACAGGCUUGGGCAGUGCCCACCAUGGAUCAAACCAGUCAAAAUCCAUCAGGAUCUUCCCGAAAACCCUGAGGAACAAUGAAAUCCCAGUUCGUUGCUGCAAUGGGCUGUUGGGACAGAGUUCCUGAAGGAAUUGCUUCCCUGGUAUCCCAAAAUAUUAUUUCCAUGUGAUUAAAACUGCUUUAAAAACUUCAUGGAGGCUCAGGGGUUGUGCACGAGAGGUCAGUGGGGGCCAGGCCA
ensembl:lncRNA